rnacentral:rRNA from 1 species
UCAAGCGACUAAGUGCAUGUGGUGGAUGCCUUGGCGAUGUCAGGCGAAGAAGGACGUGCAAGCCUGCGAUAAGCUCCGGGGAGCUGGCAAUGAAGCUUUGAUCCGGAGGUUUCCGAAUGGGGAAACCCACUCCGUAAGGAGUAUCGUUAUCUGAAUCCAUAGGGUAACGAAGCGAACCGGGUGAACUGAAACAUCUAAGUAGCCCGAGGAAAAGAAAUCAACCGAGAUUCCCAAAGUAGUGGCGAGCGAAAUGGGAAGAGCCUGCAAGUGAUAAUGACUACGUUAGUGGAAGCGUCUGGAAAGUCGUGCCGUAGAGGGUGAAAGCCCCGUACACGAAAACCUGGUCAUGGUACUAAGCUUGCGACAAGUAGGGCGGGGCACGUGAAACCCUGUCUGAACAUGGGGGGACCAUCCUCCAAGGCUAAAUACUCGACAUCGACCGAUAGUGAACCAGUACCGUGAGGGAAAGGCGAAAAGAACCCCGGGAGGGGAGUGAAAUAGAUCCUGAAACCGCAUGCAUACAAACAGUGGGAGCCUCUUAAUGGGGUGACUGCGUACCUUUUGUAUAAUGGGUCAGCGACUUACGUUCAGUAGCGAGCUUAACCGAAUAGGGGAGGCGUAGGGAAACCGAGUCUUAAUAGGGCGAUUAGUUGCUGGGCGUAGACCCGAAACCGGAUGAUCUAUCCAUGGCCAGGAUGAAGGUGCGGUAACACGCACUGGAGGUCCGAACCCACUAGUGUUGAAAAACUAGGGGAUGAGCUGUGGAUAGGGGUGAAAGGCUAAACAAAUCCGGAGAUAGCUGGUUCUCUCCGAAAGCUAUUUAGGUAGUGCCUCACGUAUCACCUUCGGGGGUAGAGCACUGUUUAGGCUAGGGGGUCAUCGCGACUUACCAAACCUAUGCAAACUCCGAAUACCGAAGAGUGCGAGCGUGGGAGACAGACAUCGGGUGCUAACGUUCGGUGUCGAGAGGGAAACAACCCAGACCGCCGAUUAAGGUCCCCAAGCCAUAGUUAAGUGGGAAACGAGGUGGGAAGGCUCAGACAGCCAGGAGGUUGGCUUAGAAGCAGCCAUCCUUUAAAGAAAGCGUAACAGCUCACUGGUCGAGUCGUCCUGCGCGGAAGAUGUAACGGGGCUUAAACUAUGCACCGAAAUCGCGGAUAUGUACUUGUACAUAUGGUAGGAGAGCGUUCCGUAGGCCGUUGAAGGUGGCUUGUAAAGGCUGCUGGAGGUAUCGGAAGUGCGAAUGCUGACAUGAGUAGCGAUAAAGCGGGUGAAAGGCCCGCUCGCCGAAAGCCCAAGGUUUCCUGCGCAACGUUCAUCGGCGCAGGGUGAGUCGGCCCCUAAGGCGAGGCUGAAAAGCGUAGUCGAUGGGAAACUGGUUAAUAUUCCAGUACCUCUAUGUAAUGCGAUGGGGGGACGGAGAAGGUUAGGUCAGCCGGGUGUUGGACGUCCCGGUUCAAGCGUGUAGUCGUGCCUGGUAGGCAAAUCCGCUAGGCUAAGAUGAGGCGUGAUAACGAGUGGUCUUGUACCGCGAAGUGAUUGAUACCCUGCUUCCAAGAAAAGCCUCUAAGCUUCAGUUACAUAGAGACCGUACCGCAAACCGACACAGGUGGGCAGGAUGAGAAUUCUCAGGCGCUUGAGAGAACUCGGGAGAAGGAACUCGGCAAAUUAGCACCGUAACUUCGGGAAAAGGUGCGCCCCGUUAGGUUGUAGCAACUUGCUUGCGAAGGCCGAUGGGGUUGCAGUGAAAAGGUGGCUGCGACUGUUUAACAAAAACACAGCACUCUGCCAACACGAAAGUGGACGUAUAGGGUGUGACGCCUGCCCGGUGCCGGAAGGUUAAGUGAUGGGGUGCAAGCUCUUGAUCGAAGCCCCGGUAAACGGCGGCCGUAACUAUAACGGUCCUAAGGUAGCGAAAUUCCUUGUCGGGUAAG